rnacentral:rRNA from 1 species
CAGGCCUAACACAUGCAAGUCGAACGGAUGUUUUCGGACAUUAGUGGCGGACGGGUGAGUAACGCGUGAGAAUCUAGCUUCAGGUUGGGGACAACAGUUGGAAGCGACUGCUAAUACCGAAUGUGCCGAAAGGUGAAAGAUUUAUUGCCUGAAGAAGAGCUCGCGUCUGAUUAGCUAGUUGGUGGGGUAAGAGCUUACCAAGGCGACGAUCGGUAGCUGGUCUGAGAGGACGAUCAGCCACACUGGGACUGAGACACGGCCCAGACUCCUACGGGAGGCAGCAGUGGGGAAUUUUCCGCAAUGGGCGAAAGCUGACGGAGCAAUACCGCGUGAGGGAAGAAGGCUCUUGGGUUGUAAACCUCUUUUCUGAGGGAAGAAAAAAAUGACGGUACCUCAGGAAUCAGCAUCGGCUAACUCCGUGCCAGCAGCCGCGGUAAUACGGAGGAUGCAAGCGUUAUCCGGAAUGAUUGGGCGUAAAGCGUCCGCAGUGGCAAUUCAAGUCUGCGGUUAAAGGUUCUGGCUCAACCAGAGACAGGCCGUGGAAACUGAAUAGCUAGAGUAUGGUAGGGGCAGAGGGAAUUCCCAGUGUAGCGGUGAAAUGCGUAGAGAUUGGGAAGAACACCGGUGGCGAAACGCUCUGCUAGGCCAAAACUGACACUGAGGGACGAAAGCUAGGGGAGCGAAUGGGAUUAGAUACCCCAGUAGUCCUAGCCGUAAACGAUGGAUACUAGGUGUAGCUUGUAUCGACCCAAGCUGUGCCGUAGCUAACGCGUUAAGUAUCCCGCCUGGGGAGUACGCGCGCAAGUGAAAACUCAAAGGAAUUGACGGGGGCCCGCACAAGCGUGGGAGUAUGUGGUUAAUUCGAUGCAACGCGAGGAACCUACCAGGACUUGACAUGUCGCGAUCUGAGUGAAGCYCGAGUGCCUUCGGR